UACGUAGGGCGCAAGCGUUGUCCGGAAUUAUUGGGCGUAAAGAGCUCGUAGGCGGCCUGUUGCGUCCGCUGUGAAAUCCCGGGGCUCAACCCUGGGCGUGCAGUCGAUACGGGCAGGCUAGAGUUCGGCAGGGGAGACUGGAAUUCCUGGUGUAGCGGUGAAAUGCGCAGAUAUCAGGAGGAACACCGGUGGCGAAGGCGGGUCUCUGGGCCGAUACUGACACUGAGGAGCGAAAGCGUGGGGAGCGAACAGG
rnacentral:rRNA from 1 species